rnacentral:rRNA from 1 species
CCUACGGGAGACAGCAGUGAGGAAUAUUGGUCAAUGGACGAGAGUCUGAACCAGCCAAGUAGCGUGAAGGAUGACUGCCCUAUGGGUUGUAAACUUCCUUUGUGCGGGAGCAAUAAUGGUCACGUGUUGCCAGCCGAGAGUACCGUACGAAUAAUCAUCGGCUAACUCCGUGCCAGCAGCCGCGGUAAUACGGAGGAUCCGAGCGUUAUCCGGAUUUAUUGGGUUUAAAGGGAGCGUAGAUGGGUUGUUAAGUCAGUUGUGAAAGUUUGCGGCUCAACAGUAAAAUUGCAAUUGAUACUGGCAGCCUUGAGUACAGUUGAGGAAGGCGGAAUGCGUGGUGUAGCGGUGAAAUGCUUAGAUAUCACGAAGAACUCCGAUUGCGAAGGCAGCUUACUAAACUGCCACUGACAUUGAGGCUCGAAAGUGUGGGUAUCAAACAGGAUUAGAUACCCUAGUAGUC